UUAAAAACCUGAGCAGAGACUCUUGUGUCCCACGACACCCCUGACGCCUUCCUCCACCCGUUCCAACCGUACUUGGACCCGUUUCUUCACUUCCUGACCACACGCCCCAUUGCUCUGGACGGUUGACCCCAAGUAUUUCAGAUCCUCCACCCUCGCUCACUCUUCCCCCACCACCCCUCUCAUUCACGCACAUAGAUUCCGUCUUACUUCGGCUCAUCUUCAUCCCUCUGCUUUCCAGCGCAUGCCUCCAUCUUUCUAACUGUUCCUCCACCUGCUGCCUGCUUUCACUGCAGGUCUCAAUGUCAUCUGCAAACAUCACGGUCCACGGGGAUUCCAGUCUAACCUCAUCUGUCAUCACCACUGCAAACAGGAAGGGGCUCGGGGCUGAUCCCUGACGCACUCCCACCUCCACCUUAAAUUGACUUCUGCGUGCAGUACCACCGUGCCGCCCAGUGCGAGACAGAAAACACGUAAUGCCCGUAGGUGUGUGUGUGUGUGACUGUGAGUGCGACUGGUUGUUUGCACGUAUGUGCCCUGCGAUUGGCUGGCAACCGGUUGAGGGUGUACCCCGCCUCCUGCCCGAUGACAGCUGGGAUAGGCUCCGGCACGCCCGCGACCCCAGUGAGGAGAAGCGCGACAGAAAAUGGAUGCAUGGAUGGAUGGAUGGAUGGAUGUCUCACACUGCUGUCUUUUUUUACUAACUUUAUUGGUGGUCAGAUAUUUGCAGUAUUACGCCAAAAGACACGCGACAAGGCUACAAAUAAACUUGCUUGUGGAUUCAACUAUACUGCGCACGCGGCGACGCGGAGUAAAGGUCUUUUGUGGGAUCGGCGAAUUAAGAGAUGAAAGACGAUCGGCAUAAAAUGAUAAAUAUCGGCCGAUACCGAUCGGCCCGAUACAAUCGGUGUAAAGUCUAAUUCUCAGCACAACUGAGCUUUUGGAGUGUACAGGUGUUUUAUUCCUUGUAAUCUGUUUCAAUAAAUUGUCAUUUGUUUUUU